rnacentral:snRNA from 1 species
GUGAUUUUAAAUCAACAUCUGCUAACGGUUCAAUAAUACAGAGAAGAUUAGCAUGGCCCCUGCACUAAGGAUGACACGCUCAAUCAAAGAGAAGCUACCAAUUUUU